rnacentral:misc_RNA from 1 species
GAUGAAGAACGUAGCGAAAUGCGAUAAGUAAUGUGAAUUGCAGAAUUCAGUGAAUCAUCGAAUCUUUGAACGCACAUUGCGCCCGCCAGCAUUCUGGCGGGCAUGCCUGUUCGAGCGUCAUUUCAACCCUCGACCUCCCCUUGGGGAAGUCGGCGUUGGGGACCGGCAGCAUACCGCCGGCCCCGAAAUGGAGUGGCGGCCCGUCCGCGGCGACCUCUGCGUAGUAAUCCAACCUCGCACCGGAACCCCGACGUGGCCACGCCGUAAAACCCCCAACUUUCUGAACGUUGACCUCGGAUCAGGCAGGAAUACCCGCUGAACUUAAGCAUAUCAAUAAGCGGAGGA